rnacentral:misc_RNA from 1 species
AAAGUCGUAACAAGGUUUCCGUAGGUGAACCUGCGGAAGGAUCAUUAAAAGUUACUUAGUCCGGUUAUACCGACUACGAAAACCACUGACGUCCCCACUUGUGGGGAUUGAUGUGUAUACCAAACGUUGAAACUUCUACCUUUUUGCUUCGGCAGCGCUCUCCAGCUCUUGUGGCUGGAGGGGUAAGGCUGCCAGAAGCCCAUAACAAAACCAGUUGAUGAAAUGUCAUGCUGUCUGAUACACUUUUUUAGUAUUUGAGAAAUCAAACCACUGUUAAAACUUUCAGCAACGGAUCUCUUGGUUCUC